rnacentral:lncRNA from 9 species
AAUACCUUCAAGUACAUCCCUUUCUAGAAAUCCUGGUGUCCGACUUGGAUUUGUACAUUUAAAUAGAUAAGGCACCAAAAGAAGAGUUUGAGAAAUCACAUUAGAAUGAUUAAAGAUUGCUUCUGAUGGAAAAGGUCAAAACGCUUUUCUGAUAUUUCUAAAACUGCACUGCCUCAGAGUUCCCCUCGUGGCUCGGCGGUUAACAAAUCUGACUAGCAAACAUGAGGACACAGGUUCGAUCCCUGGCCUUGCUCAGUGGAUUAAGGAUCUGGUUGCCAUGAGCUGUGAUGUAGCUCGCAGAGGUGGCUCGGAUCCUGUGUGGCUGUGGCUGUGGUGUAGGCCAGCAGCUACAGCUCUGAUUCGACCCCUAGUCUGGGAACCUCCAUAUGCUGUGGGUGCAGCCCUAAAAAGCAAAUAAUAGCAACAACAAUAAUAAUGAUAAUAAAAUAAAAUCGCACUGCUUUUGCUGACCCUGUUUGAAAUACCAAAGGGAUGUCACCAAAAUUCCUUUCUUCAUUUGAGAAACAAAAUAGGCUGGCUAAUAGCAGAAAAAAACUGGACUUUCAGGAAUUGUGGUUUAAGCUAAGGUUCUGUAAACUAUGACCUGUGGGGCCGAAUCCAUCCUGCCACUUGAUGUUAUACAUUUUUAUAAAUACAGUUUUAUCGUAACACAGUCCCAUCAACUCGUUGACAUAGUAUCCAUGUUCAAGUGCUAUUUCUAGGCUGAGUGCAAAAUCAGCCCCAUCUUCAAUAUUCCCAUUGUGGUCCUCAGCAGUCAGUUAACCCAGAACUUACAUGAGAUUCAGAAAAACUUGAAGUAAAAAUAAUUGCCUUUGUGGCCAGCCAUCAAUAAGUAACUAAGUUUAAAAUUUAUUAUCAAAUAAAUAUUUACAUAUAUAUUAAAAUUAGUCAGCAGCACGAAGAUAUUUUGCUUGAGAACAGCAGAGAUGAGUCAUGCCAGAGACCACAGAGCAGACAAAGUCUAAAACAUUUACUAUCUGGUCUUAAAAAAAGAAGAAUGUUUGCCAAUUCUUGCUCUAAACCAUCCAUCAGAUUCUUCCCAAAGAGCCAUAUUCCACUAUGCCUGGACUCUUGUGCCACUGCUCCUUCAGAAUAGGUUACCUUGGGAACUCUAACAGAACUCACAUACUAGGAGAAAUAAGGUAACAUUAUUCUUGGAAUCAGGUGUGAAUUGAGGUUGAUACCACCAGGAGGCUGAUGACUGAACUCAACUAAUUUCAUUUAGGUCUCUCUAAGGAUAAAGUCCUGAAGAGCUUAGACUUAAAGAACUCUUUCAUAUAAAAAAGAUGGCUUGUAUAAUUGAAAGUGUGUAAAUUCCCACAGUGCUAUGUUUAUACUCUGCAUCUGUUCCCUGCCAUGUCUGAGACGGCUAGCCCCUUCUUAUCUUGGGAGCUCAGACUAAAUACUGUACCCCUUGCCUCCAUCAGGCUCCUUUUUUUGAGGAUAUCACACAUUCCUCUCUCCUAGAACAUGUAUCUCAAGUUGUUUUCAUACACGUGUAGCUGUGAUUAUUUGAUUAAUAAUUAUUCUUGAAUAAACUGUAGCCUUUAUGAGAAUUGUCACCUGGUCAAUUUCUUGUUCCCUAUCAUAUUCCUAGAGCUUACUACCUGUGCAGAGUAGAUCCUCAACAAACAUCUUUUGAUUGAUAUGUAUCGACUAUCUAGCAACAAGUAUUUAUCAUUGCUCACCACUCACGAUACUAGGUUGCGUAUUUGUUUGUACCCUUCUCAGAGCCCAGAGAUGAGGCUUGCAUUUAUCAGAAAUCCAUCCAGUGACUCUUCUAAGAUAAAAUGAAAAUCCACUCAAGUUUGAUCGAACAACAGCCAACUAGAGCCACCAUCUCUGCUACUCACUUUAUAGACAAUGAUGUCACCCAGCAGCUCAAAGAAACUUGGUGACAGCUGUUAUUUCACAUGAGUGAUAAUAUUUUCAUCUCGCAGCCUUCUAAAAUAAAGGGCCAGUAGACUGUUAAAACAGCAUGCACCAAACUACCACCAGACAGCAAUUCUUUCCUUGUCACCCAGUAAUCACUUCAGCUAUAUUCCAACAGUUUGCUUUACCUUUCUGAAUGUGCUCUUUACAGACUAAAAUUAGGCUAGGAAUUGCAGGGGCAAGCAGCACACUCUUAGCAAUUUUCAUGAUAAAACAUGUUUACAAAUAAGACCAUCACAAGGGCAAUGAUGAAAAAAAAAUGCUGCUAAUAGUGGCAGUGAGAAAGGAAGUGUGGAAAUCAUCUAUCUCAGGGUUUAUCGAAAUAUGUUCCAUAAAUCCUAGUGCUCUAAGUUGUUCUCAUGAAGGAAGUGUUCUCUGAGCAAAUGAAUUCAGGGAAAACAGCAAAGAAUGGCUCAUCUUAAAGAUGAGCAAAGUAUAUUACCACAUUCAAAGCUCCCAACAAUUCCCUACUGUUAUAAAAAUGUGGUGCAAGUAGAGAUUGCUGAUGUUCAUUCCUACCUGGGUUUUUCUACUCUUCCUGAUAAAGGAAGAGUCUCAACCCCUUUCCAUUAGGCGGCACCCUAUGACUAGUUCCAUUCAACAAAAUGCGAGUGUGUGUGACUAGUGUCACUUUCAGGUUGAGGCAAAGAAAAGCUUCUGUAUAAACUUCCAGUUCCCUUUUGUCCUAUGAGGAAAUCAUGCAAUUCCAGUGGCAAAGCAUGUGACAGGUACCACAGAUCACUAAGCCACCACAUAGAUGCCAGCUGCCCUGGAAAGUGUCUCCCAGCUGCCAUGGAACUUCAUAUAAGCAAGGAAGAAAAUUCUUUUCCUUGGGAGUUCCACUUAUGGUGCAACAGAAAAAAAUCCAACUAGUAGCCAUGAGGAUUCGUGGUCUUAUUCACUGGGUCAGGGAUUCGACAUUGUCCCAGAUGCAGCUUGGAUCCCAAGCUGCUGUGGCUGUGGCUAGCAUCUCUAGCUCCAAUUUGAUCCCUAACCUAGGAGCUUCCAUAUACUGUGUGUAUGGCCCUAAAAAGCAAAAGCAAAAGAAAAAAAAAAGAAAGAAAGAAGAAAAAGAAAAAUCUUUUUCCAAGUUAAGCCACAGCAUACUUUCCUUAUUUACCAAGUAGUUCUUGAACUGAUCUGAUCACAGAAUUUUUCAUUCUCAUAAAUAUAAAUAAUAUCACAACGACAAAAUUUUAUAGGGAAAUACUUUGGGAAUCACUAUGAUAUCUAAAAGAGCUUUUUCCAGGAACUAUAGCUGAAGGAUUUUGAGCAAAUAUAAUUAAUCCAACCUGCAAGAGAAAUCGAGGGAGAAUCCAGACAGGCAAUUCGAAUGUGGAAAACAGGUACUAGACCAGACAAGUGGGUUGGAAAUCCAAAAAACGGAGUUCCCUCUACUUCCCCCGUGUUGUAGCCCCAAUGUUUUUUCCUUCAACCAUCCAUUUAGCAUGUAUUCACUGCAUGCAUCCUGAGGAUACUACACGGUAUGAGAUGCAAGUGGUGAUUACACCUUAGCUCCACCUUCCUCGAUUACUUACUCGGCUGUGCCAUCUUCUCUUGUACUUCUCUUUUUUUUGCACCCCCACCCCCCUCCAAUCUCAUUUUCUCCGAAGUCAAGGAUUCCAGGACCAUUUAUGUUCUAAGUUUCACUCUUUAAAAUCCAGCAGGAGCAUCCUGCCCUUCCCCCACAGGAUGGGUAUCUUGGAUACAUUUCAGCCAGCGGGAGCUAGGCUGGGGGGUCUUGUAAUUGCAUGAAUGGCCUUGUUUUUCAAAUCAGGAAACAAGGCAAAAGCCCUGAAGGAUCCCUCCAGGCUCUCCCUUUCUUUGUGCUGUCUUCUCCACCAAAGGAUGCAUCUUAGGUCUGUCUUUUGGUAUUUAUAUCAAACUGUUCAGUCUUGAUAACCAACCAUUCACUUCUACAGAGGAAACACUAGAAAUGUCAUGGCUUCCUACACUUCCCAAUACUGAGGCUGCCAUACUUGGGACCCCAGAAAGCCUGACCAUGAUCAUGAUUACGGUAAGAGCCAAUGCUAGCAGUAGCAACCCACAGGAGACCUAGUCAUUGAUGACCUGUCCUAGGAGCCUGCCCUACAGGGAUGUUCACCACUGUAUUCCAACCAGAAACCCAGCUAGACCUUCUCUUGCACCAAGUCUGAAAGUCAGAAAGAUAUUCAGACAAGGGGUAGCCACAGAAGAAGCAGGUGAAAUUCUAGUGGAAGCCGAGAGGAAGACAGGCGCCAUGCAUAUGGCAAAGCCUUCUGAAAAGUUCAAGCUUGUUAGAUAGUUGAAAAUGGCUAUUCACAAUACACAAGAUAUGGAAGCAGCCUGCAUGUCCAUCAACAGAGGACGGAUAAAGAAGAUAUGGUGUAUAUAUGCAAAGGAAUACCACUCAGCCAUCAAAAGAACAAAAUCAUGUGAUUUGCAGCAACAUGGAUGGAACAAGAGAUUACUAUACUAAGUGAAACAAGUCAGACAAAGACAAAUAUCAUAUGAUAUCAAUUAUAUGUGGAAUCAAAUAAAAAUGAUACAAAAGAACUUAUUCACACACAAAAAAACAGACUCAAAAAUUUCAAAACCAAACUUAUGGUUACCAGAGGGGAAAUGUUGGCAGAGGGGGUGAAUUGGGAGGUUGGGAUUGGCACUACCAUACACAAAAUCAACAGUAACAGGAUAUAUUGCAUAGCUCCGGGAAAUCUAUUCAGUAUUGUGUGAUAGCCUACAUGGGAAAAGAAUCUGGAAAAGAAUGGAUAUAUAUUUAUAUGUCUGGCUGAUUUCUUUUGCUGUAUGUAUACCUGAAACUAACACACCAUUGUAAGUCACUUAUAUGCCAAUAAAAUUUAUUUUAAAAAAAUAAUGCUAUUGGUCAUCCUGGAUGAUGGUCCAGAUCUCCAUAGCUCCCUACUCUAGCAUCCCUGAGACAGGUGCCUGAAUGUUCUCACACAUACUCUAGGUAACCUGAGUCCAUCACAAUCCCUUGAUACCUAAAGGAGCCUCACCAGUACUUCUCAAACUCAUAUUCCAAGUUGCUCAAGAACAGAAACUAGGUGCUAGUCAUCUCACUAAGUCCUCCUUACUGCUAACCACAUAGUAGAUGUGCAACUCAUUAACUGUAUUCAUUUAUUUAUUUUUUGUCUUUUUAGGUCUGUAUCCAGGGCAUAUGGAAGUUCCCAGGCCAGGGAUCAGCCACAGCCACAGCAACUCAGGACACCAAACCCACUGAACAAGGCCAGAGAUCAAACCCACAUCCUUAUGGAUACUAGUCUGGUUCAUUACUGCUGAGCCACAACAGGAGCUCACAACUCAUUAUUUUAGAAAUAUUUAUUGAGAUAACCUACUCAAUCUCAGCUGCAAACAUCUUUGAGCUCGAAAUGUUCCUGGUCUUUUAUAGCUCAUAUUCUUAUUUUAACUCUAAUGUUUGAUUGGUUGGGUGAGAGGAAUAUUAAGCACAAUUUUUGGCAAUAUGAGAGCAUCAUCCUAAUGUGGAGAGCAAGGCAUAAAACAAUUAGGGACCACACGUGGUACGUGGAGUCAAAAGUCUGCUUUAAAUAACUGCCAUUCAGUAAGGUCCUCCUGGAUGCCAGGUACACUAGUGGGUGCUUACAUAUGCUUUGGAAUCCAAUCCUCCCAAGAGUUCCAGUUCAGACAUGUCAUCAUUCCUAAUUCACAAGUGAGGAAAUAGAAGCUCAGAGAGUUUAAAUAAUUUUCCCAAAGUAGGUGAGUCACAGAGUCAUAAUUCAAAUUCUGCUUUCGCUGUUCCACAUUUGUGCUCUUUCCACUGUGCGACACUUAGGGGGAAAUGAUGAGCUUUUGAACCAGGGAACAAAGUGACAGGUGGGGUAGGAAAGCAUGCUGUUGUACCAUAUUUUCACUGUGAAAUUCAUAGUAAUCUGACAGCAGAAGAUUAUUUUCCAGAGUGGGUUUCUUAUACAGUAGGAAAAGAAAAGUAAUUGCUCACUGAUUCUACCUCUAUCUUUUUUAUUUUGGCAUGAGAGAAAAAAAAAAGGAAGAAAGAAAAAAAAAAAGGCAAGCUUACACGGAGAAUUAUAUUUUAAAAUAAUUAAAAAUAUUGACAGGAAAAAUAUUGUCCCACUUACUUGUUUCAAAAGAAAUAGGUCCAAAUAUUUGCCACACUCAUACCAAAAAAAAAAAAAAAAAA